ACGGUCAAAUCACGCUGAAACACCGGUUCUCGUACGAUCACCGAAGUUAAGCAUCGUAGAGCCAGGUCAGUACUUAGAUGGGGGACCGCUUGGGAACACCUGGUACUGUAAG
rnacentral:rRNA from 1 species